rnacentral:ncRNA from 1 species
AAUAAACACGGGCAAAGCAGCCGAAAGACUGUGGCGCAAAGCUAUAGGGCCUGUAAAAUGGCAGCCAGUUGCAUAA